CGACUCUCGGCAAUGGAUAUCUCGGCUCUUGCAUCGAUGAAGAACGUAGCGAAAUGCGAUACUUGGUGUGAAUUGCAGAAUCCCGUGAACCAUCGAGUCUUUGAACGCAAGUUGCGCCCAAGGCCAUUAGGCUGAGGGCACGUCUGCCUGGGCGUCAUGCACAACGUCGCUCCACCCAUCAUAUAUCUCUCAUCUUAGUCGGUUAAGGAAUUGAUGUAUGGAAGUAUACAUUGGCCCCCCGUGCCUUACAGGUGUGGUCGGCUCAAAAUUUGGCCCUCGGGGAUGAGCGUCACGAUCAGUGGUGGUUUAAAAACCCCUUUGUCAUUGACCGGAAUUGUGUUGACUCACUCCAUAUCAGGCUAUGCGGACCCUUGUCUGUCGUUAGCGCGACAUUCACUUUGCGACCCCAGGUCAGGCGGGAUUACCCGCUGAAUUUAAGCAUAUCAAUAAGCGGAGGAGAAGAAACUUACAAGGAUUCCCCUAGUAACGGCGAGCGAACCGGGAUCAGCCCAGCUUGGGAAUCGGAUGGCUAUGUUGUCUGAAUUGUAGUCUGUAGAAGCGUCCUCAG
rnacentral:rRNA from 1 species